rnacentral:rRNA from 1 species
GCCCAGACUCCUACGGGAGGCAGCAGUGGGGAAUAUUGGGCAAUGGGCGCAAGCCUGACCCAGCAACGCCGCGUGAAGGAAGAAGGCUUUCGGGUUGUAAACUUCUUUUCUCAGGGACGAAGAAAGUGACGGUACCUGAGGAAUAAGCCACGGCUAACUACGUGCCAGCAGCCGCGGUAAUACGUAGGUGGCAAGCGUAAUCCGGAUUUACUGGGUGUAAAGGGCGUGUAGCCGGGCUUACAAGUCAGAUGUGAAAUCCGGGGGCUCAACCCCCGAACUGCAUUUGAAACUGUAGUUCUUGAGUACUGGAGAGGCAGACGGAAUUCCUAGUGUAGCGGUGAAAUGCGCAGAUAUUAGGAGGAACACCAGUGGCGAAGGCGGUCUGCUGGACAGCAACUGACGCUGAGGCGCGAAAGCGUGGGGAGCAAACAGGAUUAGAUACCCCGGUAAUG